rnacentral:rRNA from 1 species
AACGAACGCUGGCGGCAGGCUUAACACAUGCAAGUCGAGCGCCCCGCAAGGGGAGCGGCAGACGGGUGAGUAACGCGUGGGAAUCUACCCAUCCCUACGGAAUAGCUCCGGGAAACUGGAAUUAAUACCGUAUACGCCCUACGGGGGAAAGAUUUAUCGGGGAUGGAUGAGCCCGCGUUGGAUUAGCUAGUUGGUGGGGUAAAGGCCUACCAAGGCGACGAUCCAUAGCUGGCCUGAGAGGAUGAUCAGCCACAUUGGGACUGAGACACGGCCCAAACUCCUACGGGAGGCAGCAGUGGGGAAUAUUGGACAAUGGGGGCAACCCUGAUCCAGCCAUGCCGCGUGAGUGAUGAAGGCCUUAGGGUUGUAAAGCUCUUUCACCGGGGAAGAUAAUGACGGUACCCGGAGAAGAAGCCCCGGCUAACUUCGUGCCAGCCGCCGCGGUAAAAC